rnacentral:misc_RNA from 1 species
GAAUCAUUCUCAUUUCAAAUCGAUUCACACACAUAGCAGACGCUAACACAUCAAGCGUCAUCAAUAGCGUGGUCUAUGGUGCAAUGCUAUCACUGGAGUAAGGCGUUUAUCUUCUAUUCGGGUAGCGUCAUGAUUGGCCUACCCUGAUGGCGUCAUGAUCGCUGCUGAUUGCCUUUCAAAUAGGUUUUCAGCAUUCUGCUUACACCUUUGGCAUAGAGUCACAUAUUUCACAAUCCAACAUCAAUUGGUACCAACAGCAGCCCUUCUCUCCAUCAUCCAGAAGGGUCUGAGAUCAGUGUUGGAGAUGAUGGUUCGGAACAACCCAUGGAAAGCUUAUCACUCAUUGAUGCUGUGAUGCCUGAUGUUGUUGCAAGUCGUCAACAGCAAACCCAGAACAAACAGAAACCACAAGUGGUAAAGACAGAACCACCAAAUUCCAAUGGAGAUGAACCCAUGCAUUCCAAUCGCUGGGAAGAGGAAACAGGAGUAGAGAUACCUGCCAGCAAAUCUACUGUACUUCGUGGCCAUGAAUCUGAAGUUUUCAUCUGUCUGCGCCUGAACCCAACAACAUUCAGAAGGGUGGAACUGAAGUUCCGAGCAACAAAGAUGUCACCUCACUUGACUGGUAUUUGCUGGGAUAACUGAACAGAAGUUUUAAAGAAAGACAGAAACAAUUGACAAGACCUAUCUCUUCUAGAUAUCACCGUCCAACUGGCUUCUGUAAAAGAAGCGAGCAGGCUGAGUCUUGAGACACUGGCAACAGAAGUUCGAGAAUGGAAAUCACAGAUUGAUGACCUUCAGAAGGAAUUGUUAGUUGCAGAUCCCGAUCUUAUCGAUUUUAUGAAAGGAUAUCUAGUUGAAGCAAAGGAGAAAGUGUUGGCAAUGCAGAAUGCAUUCAUGGAACAAUUAAUCAUUUAAUUCAACAAUUCCAACGUAAUACGAAGGAAACCUGAUUUAUGGCUUAUUUAAUAGCUUAGCUUAUCGUCGUUAGUAACUUGCAUCGUAACGAAUUAAUUUUUUGGUAGCUUCUUGAUUGUUUAAACGAAGUAUAAGGUUACAAUCAAUGCA